CGCAAUAUGGCGUAUUUUUCUCUGUUUUCAAAUCCUUGCUGCUCUUUGCUCAGGUCCUGUGGAGUGCCACUGUCAACUAAAAUAAUUGCCAAAACAUGAGCCAGUAAUGUUGCUAAACGUAGUCAGGAUUCCGGGUAACUCUCUCAUGACGAAGGAAAUUUGUCUUAAAUUCUUAAUUUCUGAGAUAUGGUAGCUCAAACAUCGCUUACCGCGACUGUUUACACGAGGUCCUGUUCUCCAGGAAGAUCUGUCAGAGUCUUUUAAACUGUAGAUUCUUACUAUCAAGUUUGUAUACAACAAAUAGAGCCAGAUUAUUGUGUCAUAAACUGUGUAUAAGUGUAGAAAACUGAAGCUUUUUUACCAGUAACUGUCCAUUGUGUGUAACUAUGAAGUAGGCGGUGCUUAAUUUGAGCCACACCUUCAAUUGCUGCAGCAAAGCAAUGCAAGGCUGAUUAUUGGUUGUAUGUCUUGUCUGUAAUAGAUCCCUUUUUAAUAAUUUGUGUUGAUGUGAAAAUUUGUGUCUUAGUAUAUAAAUGUUUGAUUCUGUUGUUUUGGUUGAUCUUUUGAUUGUUAAUAAUCGUAUCUACAAGAGUAAUAUACUGCAAUUAUGUCACGCUGAUUGUGGCGAGGGCAUGUGCUAUAGUGCACUCGUUGCCCUCGCCCACGCCAUAGGCGUAUAGGCGAGGGUACUGCGCUCGUCGUGUCAGUGUGUGUGUGUGUGUGUGUGUGUGUGUGUGUGUGUGUGUGUGUGUUCGCAAUAUGGCGUCUUUUUCUCUGUUUUCAAAUCCUUGCUGCUCUUUGCUCAGGUCCUGUGGAGUGCCACUGUCAACUAAAAUAAUUGCCAAAAGUAGUUUUUCUUCAGUUUACUUCUUUAUCUGUCUUCUCCUUGGCAGCAUGAGCCAGUAAUGUUGCUAAACGUAGUCAGGAUUCCGGGUAACUCUCUCAUGACGAAGGAAAUUUGUCUUAAAUUCUUAAUUUCUGAGAUAUGGUAGCUCAAACAUCGCUUACCGCGACUGUUUACACGAGGUCCUGUUCUCCAGGAAGAUCUGUCAGAGUCUUUUAAACUGUAGAUUCUUACUAU